rnacentral:tRNA from 1 species
GUCUUCGUGGUGUAAUGAUUAGCACACUGAGCCGGUAUUUCAGAGGUCCGUGGUUCGAUCCCCGGCGAAGGCA